GGACGGCGAGCCCAGCAAGCCAGCACCAGUUUUAUUUUUCCAAAAGUAAAAGAUAUGGGAGGCACUUCAAUGGGUUUUAAAAUAUUAUUAUACAAAUGCCUUUUUCUUUUCUUUUAUUGUUGUGCCUUUGCUGUUUAUAAAUAACGUAUCCUUGCCCUUUGCCAGGAAAGGCCCCAAAGCCAGCAUCUGCCAGUACCCCUAGAGUAGGGAGGGAAGGAGCAGCACACCUGGCCAGAGAGCUAGUCAAGCGGCUUUCUUCCCAGAGUCACUGUCCCAGAGAUGACAGGAAUUUGAACACAAAUCCCACACUACUCACCUCACCAGCAACCUCUUCGUUGUUUCUUUGCUAAAAAAAAAAAAAAAAAAAAAAAAAAAAAAAAAAAAGGAAGGAGUACAACCUAUAGAAAUCCAGUAAUCUGUGACAUGGGGGAGAUGAGCUGUCAGAUUCAUCCUGACAGUCUCCUCCUGACUUUGUAGGAAAACCAAAACCUAUAGAUCAGUCAGUGUCCAUGGCAUUUGGAUCCUUUCCACACCUCCUGCCAGCCAAAUGUCCUUGGUCAGUAAAGAGGUCUCAUUAUUACUGGUCAUGAUACUCUUAUAAUUACACUAGCAAUUUAUACAGCAUAUAACCACAGGGUAUUAGUUUAGGAAAAGGUUAUAAUUCUAUACAAUAAAAGCCUAAUAUGCUAA